rnacentral:rRNA from 1 species
UAUCUCUGUAGAGUCUGCAUAUCAAUAAGCGGAGGAAAAGAAACUAACUAGGAUUCCCUUAGUAACGGCGAGUGAAGCGGGAAGAGCUCAAAUUUGAAAUCUUCAAGGUUUUACCUUGACGAAUUGUAGUUUAAAGAAGUGUUUUCUGUUGGAGUUUUGGUAAAAGUUCUUUGGAAUAGGACAUCAUAGAGGGUGAGAAUCCCGUAUUUGACCAUUUCUUCCAGCUGUGUGAUACACUUUCAAAGAGUCGGAAUGUUUGGGAAUGCAGUCCAAAAUGGGUGGUAAAUUUCAUCUAAAGCUAAAUAUUGGCGAGAGACCGAUAGCGAACAAGUACCGUGAGGGAAAGAUGAAAAGAACUUUGAAAAGAGAGUUAAACAGUACGUGAAAUUGUCAAAAGGGAAGCGUUUGACACCAGUGUUGUUUUCUCGAAAAUCAAUUAAAAAUGACUUGGAUUUUGUGUUGUAUUGACCUUUAUAAGCUUUUCUUGCACUUUUUUCUUAUUAUUUUUAAUGCACUUUUCGUUUAACAAGUCAACAUCAAUUUCUUUUGUUGUAAAAGAGUCAUUGGAAGGUGGCUUUUCUUUCGGAGAAAGUGUUUAUAGCCUUUGGACUUCCUGCAAUCGGAGAGACUGAGGUCUGCAGCGUAGAUCCUUUUGGGAUUAGAUUACAUUUGUGCUAAGUUAUAGCUUCUUUAUAGACAACAUGUUGACUAUAAUUAAGUCUUGUAACUUACUCGCUUAUGUAUUUUACCUACGCUUAGGAUGUUGAACGCGCACAGAGUCUC